rnacentral:rRNA from 1 species
UACAGAGGGUGCGAGCGUUAAUCGGAAUUACUGGGCGUAAAGCGCACGUAGGUGGCGACGUAAGUCGGGUGUGAAAGCCCCGGGCUCAACCUGGGAAUUGCAUUCGAGACUGCAUUGCUGGAGUACGGAAGAGGAAGGCGGAAUUCCCGGUGUAGCGGUGAAAUUCGUAGAUAUCGAGAGGAACACCGGUGGCGAAGGCGGCCUGCUGGACGAUGACUGACGCUGAGACGCGAAAGCGUGGGGAGCAAACAGG